CACGUGGUGCGGCCUACAAAUAGUACAGUGCAAAAUGUAUUAAAUGAUAAAUUUAGAUAUGUAACAUAUAGGAAUACUGAUUUAUUCAUACAAAUGGUAUUAUGAUUAGUUGUAUUUCACUGCAGUGUGUUAUAAAUAAUAAUGUAUAAGUAAUGUAUAAAUACUGGAAUCAAUGCAUAAGUUAAUGUUAUAUAGAUUUUAUAUACAAUGUAAUAUCGUAAUCCAUUUAUUGUAAUAUUUUAUACCCUUACCUUGUGAUGUAUUAAUAUAAAUGUGAUGUAUAAGAAAGGCAGAGAGACAUAUUGUAAACAGUAUAAUUUAUUUUUCAUUAUUGUAUAAUGUCAGUCCACCUGUGUGCGAGGCUAAGGAGCACAUGUAUUAUUGAGCUCUCCCCUGUGCCAGAGAGGGAGAAGCGGUCGCCUUUUGAUCCACUGAUUAUUUCUUCUCACUACAGUCCACCUGUGUGCGAGGCUAAGGAGCACAUGUAUUAUUGAGCUCUCCCCGUAAGUGACUCUGUGUGCCAGAGAGGGAGAAGCGGUCGCCUUUUGAUCCACUGAUUAUUUCUUCUCACUACAGGUAUGUUGUUUAAUUGGUUCUGUAUUAUAAAAGAAAAGAGAUUUAGUGACUGUGAAUGUAUUCAAUUUAGAGUGUUAUGGAAGAAAAUCGGAUUUAAUGAUUAAUGCAGUGCUUGACGCACGUGGUGUAAAUAGUACAAAUAGUACAGGGCAAAAUGUAUUAAAUGAUAAAUUUAGAUAUGUAACAUAUAGGAAUACUGAUUUAUUCAUAAAAAUGGUAUUAUGAUUAGUUUUAUUUCACUGCAGUGUGUUAUAAAUAAUGUAUAAGUAAUGUAUAAAUACUGGAAUCAAUGCAAGUUAAUGUUAUAUAGAUUUUAUAUACAAUGUAAUAUCGUAAUCCAUUUAUUGUAAUAUUUUAUAUCCUUACCUUGUGGUGUAUUAAUAGAAAUGUGAUGUAUAAGAAAGGCAGAGAGACAUAUUGUAAACAGUAUAAUUUAUUUUUCAUUAUUGUAUAAUCUCAGUCCACCUGUGUGCGAGGCUAAGGAGCACAUGUAUUAUUGAGCUCUCCCCUGUGCCAGAGAGGGAGAAGCGGUCGCCUUUUGAUCCACUGAUUAUUUCUUCUCACUACAGAUCAAGUAAAGGAAAGUGCUAAAUCUCAUCGAAGAAGUGGUCGUGUGGUCUCUGUGUGUGUGAGGGUGACCGGUCCAGACAUGCUACACUGGCAACAGGAAGUGACAUCUUUUAUGCUUCGACAAACUACUCCUUGAUUUUUUUUGACAUUAAUGUAUUUUUUGUGGUCAGUCUAAUAUAAAGACCUGUGCAAUGUUAAAUUGUGAAGAUCUUGAGUUUUUGUUAAAGGGUGUGUCUA
rnacentral:lncRNA from 1 species